rnacentral:rRNA from 1 species
GAUGAACGCUGGCGGCGUGCUUAACACAUGCAAGUCGAGCGGAAAGGCCACUUCGGUGGUACUCGAGCGGCGAACGGGUGAGUAACACGUGAGUAAUCUGCCCCUGGCUUCGGGAUAGCCACCGGAAACGGUGAUUAAUACCGGAUAUGACCACGUCUCGCAUGGGGUGUGGUGGAAAGUUUUUCGGCCAGGGAUGUGCUCGCGGCCUAUCAGCUUGAUGGUGAGGUAAUGGCUCACCAUGGCUUCGACGGGUAGCCGGCCUGAGAGGGUGACCGGUCACACUGGGACUGAGACACGGCCCAGACUCCUACGGGAGGCAGCAGUGGGGAAUAUUGGACAAUGGGCGGAAGCCUAAUCCAGCAACGCCGCGUGAGGGAUGACGGCCUUCGGGUUGUAAACCUCUUUCAGUACCGACGAAGCGCAAGUGACGGUAGGUACAGAAGAAGCACCGGCCAACUACGUGCCAGCAGCCGCAGUAACAC